GGGAGUGAAAUAGAACCUGAAACCCUGCACUUACAAGCUGUGGAAUCACAUUUCUUGUGUGACCGCGUACUUUUUGUAGAACGGGCCAACGAGUUACGUUAAGUAGCAAGGUUAAGCACUUAAGGUGCGGAGCCGUAGCGAAAGCGAGUUUUAACUGAGCGUUCAGUUACUGGACGUAGACCCGAAACCGGGCGACCUACCCAUGAGCAGGAUGAAGCGAAAGUAAAAUUUCGUGGAGGUCCGAACCCACGAGCGUUGAAAAGCUCGGGGAUGACGUGUGGGUAGCGGUGAAAUUCCAAUCGAGCCCGGAGAUAGCUGGUUCUCCCCGAAAUAGCUUUAGGGCUAGCCUCAAGGUGAGAGAUACGGAGGUAGAGCACUGAAUGUCCUAGGGGGUAUUGCACCUACCGAAGACUA
rnacentral:rRNA from 1 species